AAUUUCUCUCUUCUCGUUGAUUUAACUCGAUUUAUCUUAGAAGAUUUGAAAAGUUAUGGACUCCCUUGCUUCUCAUCUGAACCGUGCAGUUCCUACUAGAUCCGAGUUGCUUGGUCGUGUUUAUAAGAUAAAUAAAAGGGAUUGGAAAUCUGCCUCUUCUUCAUCUCUUCUCCUGGCUCCUUACUGCUCCUAUUGUGACUCUCACCUCAGAAGCUCGGGCGCUUCCUCAGCAUCGUCAAGCUAGUCGAAUUCCAGUACCCAGCCAAGUGACACCCACUGGCCCACCCACUUGGUCAUUGGGCUGUCGGAUCCACAUGUUUCUCGUCAAACACGCAAGCAACCAAUUUCUCUCUUCUCGUUGAUUUCACUCGGUUUAUCUUAGAAGAUUUGAAAAGUUAUGGACUCCCUUGCUUCUCAUCCGAACCGUGCAGUUCCUACUAGAACCGAGUUGCUUGCUCAUGUUUAUAAAAUAAAUAAAAGGGAUUGGAGAUCUGCCGCUCCUCUGUCUCCUCCCUGGCUUCCUGCUGCUCCUAUAUUGUGGUAAAAGAAAAAAUACACAAAUUCAUCUCUUAAUUCGAUAUAUUCUCUUCCCAUUGAUUUCCCUCGAUUUAAUUACCAUAAUACCCCAAAGAAAAAAUCUUCAAACCCCUUCUUCUCAUCUCAACU